UCACUGGGGGUCCAGUAGCUAAGACUCUGUGCUCCCAAUGCAGGAGGCCCGGGUUCGAUCCCUGGUCAGGGAA
rnacentral:tRNA from 1 species